AUGGAUGUGGAGCAGCACACCAUUUUGCAAAGCAAAGUGUCACAGUGUAAUACUGUGAAUUAUGGCAAACUUACAUUUGGAGCUGGAACCAAACUCACAGUUUCUCCAGAUGUUACUCCAUCUCCUUCAGUCUACAGGAUGGUCUCUAAAGAUGAUGAGGACUUGGAAAUGUGUCUUAUCACAGAUUACUCCCCAGAAAAGCUUACUUUUGACUCAGCUAAUAUGUCAACAAAUGUUGUUGUGGAGGUGGCAACGCCUGAGAACAAACAUGAAGCAAGCUACCUGUCAACCUACUGGGCCAAGAAAGAUAAAAUGCAGUGUGGUGCAAAUCACGAGGGCUUUGGAGAACUGGAGGGCGAGGAUCCUGAAAGUGGUGCCAGUGCUGUCUGUGUUACAGGGGUGUCUCUACACUUCAGGACAGACGAAAACCUGAACAUGCUGUCUUUAUCACAGCUGGGCUUGAAAAUAAUUUUAACGAAAGCAAUAAUUUUUAAUGUGCUUAUGACAAUGCUUACCUUGAAAAAAAAAGAAUGA